AAUGAACGCUGGCGGCGUGCCUAAUACAUGCAAGUCGAGCGAAUGGAUUAAGAGCUUGCUCUUAUGAAGUUAGCGGCGGACGGGUGAGUAACACGUGGGUAACCUGCCCAUAAGACUGGGAUAACUCCGGGAAACCGGGGCUAAUACCGGAUAACAUUUUGAACCGCAUGGUUCGAAAUUGAAAGGCGGCUUCGGCUGUCACUUAUGGAUGGACCCGCGUCGCAUUAGCUAGUUGGGGAGGUAACGGCUCACCAAGGCAACGAUGCGUAGCCGACCUGGGAGGGUGAUCGGCCAACCUGGGACUGAGACACGGCCCAGACUCCUACUGGAGGCAGCAGUAGGGAAUCUUCCGCAAUGGACGAAAGUCUGACGGAGCCACGCCGCGUGAGUGAUGAAGGCUUUCGGGUCGUAAAACUCUGUUGUUAGGGAAGAACAAGUGCUAGUUGAAUAAGCUGGCACCUUGACGGUACCUAACCAGAAAGCCACGGCUAACUACGUGCCAGCAGCCGCAGUAA
rnacentral:rRNA from 1 species